GGAGAGUUGCCGGAGUGGUCGAACGGGACGGAUUCGAAAUCCGUUGUACCCGCAAGGGUACCCAGGGUUCGAAUCCCUGGCUCUCCGCCA
rnacentral:tRNA from 9 species